AGGUCUCGCGGGAGGGCGCGGGUCUCGCGGGAGGACGCAGAAUCCCGCCCGCGCCCGCGCGCCUCGGGGGCGGCGGGGGUGGCGGCGGCCCGUCCCUUCUGCAGCCCUGCGCGAGGCCUCGGCGCUCCCCUCCUGCCCCGGAGUCCCGUGAUCCUGGAAGUCCUGCGGGGCCAUCCUGUGCUUGAAGAUAAACACAGCCCCCCACCCUCGGGGGUUUAAAAUGAAGGCAUUUCCUCACCUGUAAAGUGACUAGAAGAUUGCCCAGGUCCCUUCCAACAACUGCAGACUGUGUCAUCGGCUGGAUUUGGGCCCGAGCUGGACUGUGUGCAGCCCUCUCUCAGGAACACCUCUGUCUUUCCUGCCUUGAGCUUAGUUUCUGUCUAGAAAGUUGUAAGAGUUGAGACAAUGAGAGGAGGCUGAGGAGCUGUUUGCUCCCCUGAAUCAGGGGUUCGGAUCCAGUUGAGGGAUGCGGGGGUGGGGAGGAGAAGGUUCAGUCGAUGCCUAGACCUGACACAUUAACCCCUGGAUGAAUUAUUUUCACUUCUGUGAAAAAGGCUUUGGCUAUGGCUUCACGGAGAAGCCCGCCGCAUCGUAAAACCACCGGUGUCACGAGCUGUCUUCUGGAGAGUGGAAACGGGCAGGAUGUGGUUUGAACUGACAGAAAGAUGAGGCAGUGCGUUCCUCCUUGGGGAGCUUGGAGCGACCAUCAGGGGCAAGAACCAGAGGCUGCGACUUUCUGACUUGGAGCCAACAGUCAAUUCAGGAUCAGGGAAACCAGUUGCUUAGUGCCAAGGUGUUCAAAAAACAACAAGGAAACAUACACACACAACCACUACAGAAAACAAAUCAGCUAACAAUAUUUCUCAUUUUCACGAGUAAAACUUUGCAUCUCUAACAGCACCUUCUCUGGUGGCUCAAAUGGUAAAGAAUCCACCUGCAAUACAGGAGACGCAGGUUUGAUCCCUGGGUCGGGACGAUCCCCUGGAGGAGGAAAUGACAACCCACUCCAGUACUCCUGCCUGGAGCAACCCAUGGACAGAGGAGCCUGGUGGGGCUACAGUCCAUGUGGUCGCAAAGAGUCAGAUAUGACUGAGCAACUAACUCUUACCUGCUUACUUACGCAGCAGCUUACACACUUUAAGACACUUUCAAAUACGUGUAACGCUUGACGUAACCUACGGAGAAACACACAGUCGUGUUGAUAUUCCUAUUUUCUGGAUAAAAACAUUGAACAGGGCCUAGUUAUGAAAACGGAAGUUUCAAAGCAGACCAGGAAUCCAGGACUCUUGAUCCUCGAUCCAAACCUGGUGUCUGGUGCUUCUGAAUUCAUGUAAACAGAACCCCCCUUCAGAGAGAAAAGCAGAUUCCUAAGGUCGAGGCCCCCCGAGUUGUCAUUUGUUGUCUUGUCGCUAAGUUGCAUCCAACUCUUCAACCCCAUGGACUUUAGGCCUCCAGGCUCCUCUGUCC
ensembl:lncRNA